GAUGAACGCUGGCGGCGUGCCUAAUACAUGCCAGUCGAGCGAACAGACGAGGAGCUUGCUCCUCUGACGUUAGCGGCGGACGGGUGAGUAACACGUGGAUCACCUCCCUAUCAUACUGGGAUAACUUCGGGAAACCGGAGCUAAUACCGUAUAAUCUAUUGAACCGCAUGGUUCAAUAGUGAAAGACGGUUUUGCUGUCACUUAUAGAUGGAUCCGCGCCGCAUUAGCUAGUUGGUAAGGUAACGGCUUACCAAGGCAACGAUGCGUAGCCGACCUGAGAGGGGGAUGGGCAACCCUGAAACUGAGCGACGGUCCAGACUCCUACGGGAGGCAGAAGUAGGGAAGCUUCGGCAAAGGGCGAAAGCCUGACGGAGCAACGCAGCGUGAGUGAUGAAGGGCUUCGGAUCGUAAAACGCUGUUAUUAGGGAAGAACAAAUGUGUAAGUAACUAUGCACGUGUGGACGGUACCUAAUAAGAAAGCCACGGCUAACUAGGU
rnacentral:rRNA from 1 species